AUCAUCUCCUCCACUGAAACAGUCCCUUCCAUCUUCUCCACCAAGAGCUGGGCCAUCAACGAAAACAACGGCACAACAACCUGCUCAGACCAAAGGGAACCUCAGGAGGAAGGUGUCAAGAAAAAGAAGAGGAAGCCAAAAAAUGAGGAGCCUGCCGAGAAAAGGAAAAGAAUGAAAAGAUGCUCAUUCCUGCCUUCUUUUCCUCCCUUCCUUCUAUUUCCUCUUCCAUUCUCUCUCUCUCCC